rnacentral:rRNA from 1 species
CUAUACAUGACUCUGCGCAUAUCAAUAAGCGGAGGAAAAGAAACUAACAAGGAUUCCCUUAGUAACGGCGAGUGAAGCGGGAAGAGCUCAAAUUUGAAAUCUUAAAGGGUUUCCCUUUACGAAUUGUAGUUUAAAGAAGUGUUUUCUGUUGAGGUUUUGGUAAAAGUUCUUUGGAAUAGGACAUCAUAGAGGGUGAGAAUCCCGUAUUUGACCUUUACUUUCAACUUUGUGAUACACUUUCAAAGAGUCGGAUUGUUUGGGAAUGCAGUCCAAAAUGGGUGGUAAAUUUCAUCUAAAGCUAAAUAUUGGCGAGAGACCGAUAGCGAACAAGUACCGUGAGGGAAAGAUGAAAAGAACUUUGAAAAGAGAGUUAAACAGUACGUGAAAUUGUUAAAAGGGAAGCGUUUGACACCAGUGUUGUUUUUCUGAAAAUCAAUUAAAGAACUGUUUAUGCUAAGUUGUUUAGACUUUAUCAGCUAACUGUUUAGUUUUGAGCUUUUCUUUAAUGCACUUUUCAGGUUAACAAGUCAACAUCAAUUUCUUUUGCUGUAAAAAAGCUUGAGGAAGGUGGCUUGAGAUUCGUCUUAAGUGUUUAUAGCCUCUUGCCUAUGCAGUCGGAGAGAUUGAGGUCUGCAGCGUAGAUCCUUCGGGGCUAAAUGCAUUUGUGCUAAGUUAUAGCAUUUUAUAGACAACUUGUUGACUAUGAUUUGUCUUGUAGCUUACUCGCUUAUGUUAUUUUACCUACGCUUAGGAUGUUGACAGCAGUAUAGACUGU